GAUGAACGCUAGCGGCAGGCUUAACACAUGCAAGUCGAGGGGUAUAGUAGCAAUACUAGAGACCGGCGCACGGGUGCGUAACGCGUAUGCAACCUACCUUUUACAGAGGGAUAGCCCAGAGAAAUUUGGAUUAAUACCUCAUAGUGUUAUUAGAUGGCAUCAUUUGAUAACUAAAGUUCCAACGGUAAAAGAUGGGCAUGCGUCCUAUUAGCUAGAUGGUAAGGUAACGGCUUACCAUGGCUACGAUAGGUAGGGGUCCUGAGAGGGAGAUCCCCCANACUGGUACUGAGACACGGACCAGACUCCUACGGGAGGCAGCAGUGAGGAAUAUUGGAC
rnacentral:rRNA from 1 species